AGUUACAUAGCUGAAAAGAGACUUGCGUCCAUCAAGUUUUGGAUCAGCAGCAAAAACAUGAACUUGAUGGACGCAAGUCUCUUUUCAGCUAUGUAACUAUGUAAUCC